rnacentral:rRNA from 1 species
UACGGGGGGGGCUAGCGUUGUUCGGAAUUACUGGGCGUAAAGCGCACGUAGGCGGCUUUGUAAGUUAGAGGUGAAAGCCCAGGGCUCAACCCUGGAAUUGCCUUUAAGACUGCAUCGCUUGAACAUCGGAGAGGUAAGUGGAAUUCCGAGUGUAGAGGUGAAAUUCGUAGAUAUUCGGAAGAACACCAGUGGCGAAGGCGACUUACUGGACGAUUGUUGACGCUGAGGUGCGAAAGCGUGGGGAGCAAACAGG